AGAGUUUGAUCAUGGCUCAGAUUGAACGCUGGCGGCAGGCCUAACACAUGCAAGUCGAGCGAGAAAGCACUUCGGUGUGAGUACAGCGGCGGACGGGUGAGUAACGCGUAGGAAUCUACCUGGUAGUGGGGGACAACUCGGGGAAACUCGAGCUAAUACCGCAUACGCCCUGAGGGGGAAAGCGGGGGAUCUUCGGACCUCGCGCUAUUGGAUGAGCCUGCGUCGGAUUAGCUUGUUGGUGAGGUAAAGGCUCACCAAGGCGACGAUCCGUAGCUGGUCUGAGAGGAUGAUCAGCCACACUGGGACUGAGACACGGCCCAGACUCCUACGGGAGGCAGCAGUGGGGAAUAUUGCGCAAUGGGCGAAAGCCUGACGCAGCCAUGCCGCGUGUGUGAAGAAGGCCCUAGGGUUGUAAAGCACUUUCAAUAGGGAGAAAAGGCUCACGGUUAAUACCCGUGAGAGUUGAUGUUACCUAUAGAAGAAGCACCGGCUAACUCCGUGCCAGCAGCCGCGGUAAUACGGAGGGUGCGAGCGUUAAUCGGAAUUACUGGGCGUAAAGCGCGCGUAGGCGGUUUGUUAAGUCAGCUGUGAAAGCCCCGGGCUCAACCUGGGAACUGCAGUUGAUACUGGCAGGCUAGAGUACGAGAGAGGGAGGUAGAAUUCCAUGUGUAGCGGUGAAAUGCGUAGAUAUAUGGAGGAAUACCAGUGGCGAAGGCGGCCUCCUGGCUCGAUACUGACGCUGAGGUGCGAAAGCGUGGGUAGCAAACAGGAUUAGAUACCCUGGUAGUCCACGCCGUAAACGAUGUCUACUAGCCGUUGGGUGACUUGAUCGCCUAGUGGCGCAGCUAACGCAAUAAGUAGACCGCCUGGGGAGUACGGCCGCAAGGUUAAAACUCAAAUGAAUUGACGGGGGCCCGCACAAGCGGUGGAGCAUGUGGUUUAAUUCGAUGCAACGCGAAGAACCUUACCAGGCCUUGACAUCCUGAGAACUUUCUAGAGAUAGAUUGGUGCCUUCGGGAACUCAGUGACAGGUGCUGCAUGGCUGUCGUC
rnacentral:rRNA from 1 species